CAGUCCACGCUGUAAACGAUGAACACUAGACGCUGGGAGGGUCUACCUUUCGGUGUCGCAGCUAACGCGUUAAGUGUUCCGCCUGGGGAGUACAGCCGCAAGGUUGAAACUCAAAGGAAUUGACGGGGGCCCGCACAAGCGGUGGAGCAUGUGGUUUAAUUCGAUGCAACGCGCAGAACCUUACCUGCCUUUGACAGCCGGGGAACUUGACUGAGAGGUCGAGGUGCCGCAAGGAACCCCGAGACAGGUGCUGCAUGGCUGUCGUCAGCUCGUGUCGUGAGAUGUUGGGUUAAGUCCCGCAACGAGCGCAACCCUUGUCCCUAGUUGCCAGCGGUUCGGCCGGGAACUCUAGGGAGACUGCCGGUGAUAAACCGGGAGGAAGGUGGGGAUGACGUCAAGUCAUCAUGGGCCUUUAUGGGGCAGGGGCUAC
rnacentral:rRNA from 1 species